rnacentral:lncRNA from 1 species
UAGAUUCACCAGGGCCCCAACAUCCCUUAAGGUAAUAGACAUGGGGCCAAGAGGGAAAAUAAAGGUGUUAUACUCAGGAGACCAAAAACUCAAAGCAAUCGAAAAGAGUGCUGAAUCAAAAGUAGGAGGGCGAAUAGAGAUUUCUAACAAAUCAGAAAUCCUAGCGCUAUCAAAAAGUGCCUUAGUAGGACCAUGACCCACAAGGCGAGCAUGCCACCUACG